CACAGAUCUGAAGCGGUGCACCUACUAUGAGACGUGCGCGACCUACGGGCUCAAUGUGGAGCGUGUCUUCCAGGACGUGGGUAUAAUUGACUCUGCUGUCCCCUGCAGUGGCCCAGAAGGUAGUGGCCUUGCGAAAGAAGCAGCAACUGGCCAUCGGGCCCUGCAAGUCACUGCCCAACUCGCCCAGCCACUCGGCCGUGUCCGCCGCCUCCAUCCCGGCCGUGCACAUCAACCAGGCCACGAAUGGCGGCGGCAGCGCCUUCAGCGACUACUCGUCCUCAGUCCCCUCCACCCCCAGCAUCAGCCAGCGGGAGCUGCGCAUCGAGACCAUCGCUGCCUCCUCCACCCCCACACCCAUCCGAAAGCAGUCCAAGCGGCGCUCCAACAUCUUCA
rnacentral:sRNA from 1 species